CUUACCAUAGAUAGCUGACUUGGUAUGCAACCUAAUGGUCCUGACCCAGCUAACACCAUUUUUCUUGCACCUAAGUUGUAUAGCCUCUGCCAAAUGUUUAUAAAAGAACACACUUAACACUUUCUGAGUAUGAGAUGAAAAUCUGCAUCACUAUUGUGAAUACUGUAUUAUGAGAAUUUGGGAGUGUUAUAAAAGAAAUUUGAUUAACUGAUAUUUGAGCUGACAGAGUCUUGAUCAGGAGAUCUGCAUACUCUUCUUCACUGUAGAUUUGGCUGGUGGAGUAUCUCUCAGGCAUAAGAUCCGCAGGGUUUUGAAAGAAACGCCGGAGAUGUAACUCGAUUGUAAUCUCAAACUGUGAUAUCUGUCCAUUAAAUGUAGUUCUUGCUCCCUGAAGAAAAAAACACAAAGCUGCUGCAGAUGCAUAGUUAACCCCUCUUAAGGAAUUUGGCCCAAUGGAUAAAGGAGAUAAGUAUGGUGGCACCAAUGGCAAGCCGAGAAACGACCAGUUGGGAAGCCAAAAUCAAUUCCAUAAGGGAAAUAAUUAGCUCGUGCGAGAGUUGGAAUGUAAUUGUUGUUUCCACUGUCGAC